UGGCGAACGGGUGAGUAACGCGUGAGCAACCUGCCUUUCAGUGGGGGACAACAGAGGGAAACUUCUGCUAAUACCGCAUAACGUGCCUUGGGGGCAUCCCUGGGGUACCAAAGAUUUAUUGCUGAAAGAUGGGCUCGCGUCUGAUUAGAUAGUUGGUGGGGUAACGGCCCACCAAGUCGACGAUCAGUAGCCGGUCUGAGAGGAUGAACGGCCACAUUGGGACUGAGAUACGGCCCAGACUCCUACGGGAGGCAGCAG
rnacentral:rRNA from 1 species